rnacentral:tRNA from 1 species
GCCAAGGGAUAGCUCAGUCGGUAGAGCAUGAAACUCUUAAUCUCAGGGUCAUGGGUUUGAGCCUCACACUGGGCA